rnacentral:lncRNA from 1 species
CUCAAUUUUAAGCCUGGGUGGGAUUCUAAAAAGUCAGUUGAGAUUUAGCCAAGCCUCCUCCUCGCUGUGACAGAAACUUCACAAAAUAUCCUAUGGGAGCAGAUCCCUAGAGAGUGUGGCUGAGUCUCCUCAGCAUCUGUAGCCUUGGGAAAACUGGAUGCAUCAUCGACUCAGGGAACGCAAUCAGUGAGCGUCUUCUUGAAACGUUGAGACCCUGUAUGCGGUGGUUGGAAUGAGAACGGCCUCCCUAGACACUUAUCAUCUGCCCUGUGCGAUAGGAGGCUGGACCUUGGAGAUGUUCCUGUGCUCGUGGGUGAGACAGAGAUAAGACAGGAGUAGAAGAGAGAGCAGCGAUAGCCAACAGGCGCUCAUAGCUUCUGCUUUAAACCAAGCUCAGAGGAGAGAAGGUGAGAAAACACGCAUAUUACGUUUCAGUUCUAAAUCUCUCCAAGCAAGACACACCCAAGGCACGGAUGGAGUUGGUAGUUGCUAUAUCUUGAAUCAAGACUUGUGUGCUAAAGGACAGGUCACCAGCCUGUAAUGGCACUACAUGGAGUUGCUGAAAAUUUGAGGGGAAGAACACAAUUAGAAGAAGUUCCGUCUUUGAGGUCAUGCCUUGAAGGGAAUAGUGAGUCCUCGGACCCUUGUCUCUUUCUUUGCUUUCUGAUUAGCAUAAGGCGAACGGGCAUCCUCAGCCGCUAGCUCCUGCCAUAGUGCGCUGGACUGCCACAGUCCCAAAGCAUCGGGCAAGGAGACCACAGGCUGAAACUGCUGACCCAGCAGCCGCGUGAACCUUUUCUUUCGCUAAGCUUGUUCUCUCAGGUACUGACCGGAAGCUGACUUGCUUGAAGAGGAUGAGACUAACGAUGCAGUAAAGCACCGGAAGUCCAAUCUAUUCACCAUUAAAGACUGCCUGACAGCUCACCUGUGGGCUCUGAGAAGAAGCAGUCAGUGAAAGAUACGCGUGUGUUGGCUUGAGCCCCUAAGUAGACCAAGCCGCCCAGUAGGAUGGGAAGGGUGUGGGAAGAGCUGCUUUCCUAGGGGAGCAGGAGGUGGCGGUUUAUGUGUGCUAUGAUUUGAGAUGCCAAAUUGCCAUCCUAAAGCAAAUGUCAGUGUGAAAUUGUUUACAUGACUCGAAAGCCGGGCAGAACGCUCAGGCUUGCGAUCAAAACGUGAGUUCAGCAUACAGGUGGCAUUUUAAGCCAGAGAUUUGAUGAGAUCACCAGGGAAUGUAGAUAGAAGAGAUCCAAGUGCAGAACUCUGGGGCACUUCAGUGUUUAGAGGUAAUAUGGGGCCAUCGAACAAGACUAAGGGGGCCUAUCGUCAACAAGGCAGAAGGUAAAGUAGGCAGUGAGAAAAAGCUUCACAAAAGCCAGAAUAAACGGCAACUUCAAAAAUGGUACCAACAGGCCAAGUGAGCACAGACACAGGGGCUAACUAUUGAACUUAGCAAAGAGAUCAUUGACUGUCACAAUUUCCAUGGAGCCUAAAUCCAGGGUAUGAAGUCAACUUUGAAGCUUGUUAAUCUUGCUCAUCUUGCUUUAAUGUCUAUGUCCCAGCAUGCUAAGAGGGGUAUUUGUAAAAGGAACACGGAUGUAAAUAUGUAAAAGGACUAUCCCAGGCAGUGCCCUGUGCUGUUUGAAUGAGAUGCUGCCCACAGUUUCAGGCAUUUGAAUGCUUGGUUCCCAGUUGGAGGCCUUGGUUGGUGAGGCUUGGAGGGCGUGCCUUGUUGGAGGAAAUGCAUCACUGGUGGCAGGCUUAGAGAGCUUACGGAGUCACACCAUUUCUAGUCUGCCAUUGGUUGUGUGGCUCAAGGUGUGUGAGCCCUCAGCUUUCUGCUUCGGUUGCCAUACUUUUGAUCCACUGUUAAGGAAUCAAACACAGAAAUGUAAGCCCAAAUAAACUCUUCUCUAAAUUGCCUCAGCCGUAGUGUUUUUAUCACAAUAGUAGAAAAGUAAUGGAUACAGGCUAUGAUGGUCUUGUGUGGACGCUCUCACUGUAGACAGUUGGGCCAGCAAGGAAUGUGUUACCAGACAAGAGUAUACUUGAAUGACGCGAAGCUAUAGAUGUAAUUAGAUGUUUAUUUACUUACUUACUUAUCUAUUGGCACAAUCUCAUGUAUCCCAGACUAGUGUUGAACUCACUAUGUAGCCAAGGAUGACCCUGAACUUCUG